UAGCUGGGAUUAGAGGUGUGCACCACCACACCCGGUAUAAGGUUUGACAGAAAUAGUUACAACUACCUUCAUAGUAGUAAAAAAAAAUAGCUACCUAGCAUCUAUUGAGCACUUGCUGUAAACCACACCCCAAUCUAAUGGAUUGUCCUAUUUGAUUCUCACCUAAGAACCUAAGAGAUGUGUAUAAUCAUGACUCUCCAUGUUACAGCUAAGGAUACCUGCAUUCAGGAACAUUAAAGAACUUGCUUAGUGUCCCCCACCACCCCAGUGGUGGAGUUAUGAUAGAAACCCAGGUGGUCUGAAUGCAGAGUCGAGUUCUUGAAAUCAAACUGCUGACCCUCUGCUUCAUAAACAAGAUCCUGUAUGCUGACUCAUACCUCUGAUGGCUGACAGAGACUCUUUCUUCAUCACAUAGCUACAUUUCUAAGUCUGAACGCUAAUCUUUUGCAUGGUAGUAGCACAAACGGUCAGUGGUAAAGUGAUGGCAGAAGGCAAGGGGAAUUAUAGCAGGAAAAAAUAUGGCCGGAAAUCAACAGAAUUGGUUUUGGUCAUGUCCUCACUGAUGACUGUCAAUGUGAGCAAGCCAUGUCUCCUGCUUGGAUCUGCUGCCUUUAUGGUAAAAAUUAAGGAUUCGAACUAAUUGAUUAAUUCUAAGACUCCUUCCAGCUUUGUGAUUCUGCUGGUCCUCUUUUGAGGAAUACUUUCGGCAUUUUACAACUUGGAUUAAAAAUUCUCCAUGGGACCAGCACGGUAGUUCAUGCCUGUAAUCCCAGCACUUUAGGAGGCUAAAGCAGGUGGAUCACUUGAGGCCAGGAGCUCGAGACUUGCCUAGGGAACAUGGCAAAACCCUGUCUGUACUUAAAGUACAAAAGUUAGCAGAGUGUGUUGUCGCAUGCUUGUAAUUCUAGCUACUCAGGUGCCUGAGGCAAGAGAAUCGCUUGAGCCUGGGAGGCAGAGGUUGCAGUGAACCAAGAUCAAGAUCGCACCACUGCACUCCAGCCUGGAUGACAGAGUGAGUCCCUGUGUCACAAAAAAAAAAAAAAAAAAAAAAAA
rnacentral:lncRNA from 1 species